CUCUACAGCCAUAUCACCCUGAACGUGCCCAAUCUCAUCUGAUCUUGGAAGCUAAGCAGGGCCAGGCCUGGUUAGUACUUGGAUGGGAGAGUGACUGUGGCUAUGACCCCAAGUAGAACGGUCAGACCCAGAGGGA
rnacentral:rRNA from 1 species